UACGUAGGGACCGAGCGUUGUCCGGAUUCAUUGGGCGUAAAGAGCUCGUAGGCGGCUGCUCAAGUCGAAUGUGAAAACUCGAGGCUCAACCUCGAGCCUGCAUUCGAUACUGGGCGGCUAGAGUCUGGUAGGGGGAUCUGGAAUUCCUGGUGUAGCGGUGAAAUGCGCAGAUAUCAGGAGGAACACCGGUGGCGAAGGCGGGUCUCUGGGCCGUAACUGACGCUGAGGAGCGAAAGCGUGGGGAGCGAACAGG
rnacentral:rRNA from 1 species